rnacentral:rRNA from 1 species
CCCUUAGAUGUUCUGGGCCGCACGCGUGCUACACUGAGUAAUUCAAUGGGUAAGGGAACGCUAGAGCAUUACCUAAUCUUGAUAUUUGCUCGUGAUGGGGAUCGACGGUUGCAAUUUUCCGUCGUGAACGAGGAAUACCUUGUAGGCGCAUGUCAUCAUCAUGCGCCGAAUACGUCCCUGCCCUUUGUACACACCGCCCGUCGCUCCUACCGAUUGAGUGAUCCGGUGAGGCUCUGGGACCUGGACGGAAAGAGCGUUUCGCUUGUUCUGUUUGGGAAACUUGGUCGAACCUUAUCAUUUAGAGGAAGGAGAAGUCGUAACA